AUUGAACGCUGGCGGCAGGCCUAACACAUGCAAGUCGAGCGGAUGAAGGGAGCUUGCUCCUGGAUUCAGCGGCGGACGGGUGAGUAAUGCCUAGGAAUCUGCCUGGUAGUGGGGGAUAACGUCCGGAAACGGGCGCUAAUACCGCAUACGUCCUGAGGGAGAAAGUGGGGGGUCUUCGGACCUCACGCUCUCAGAUGAGCCUAGGUCGGAUUAGCUAGUUGGUGGGGUAAAGGCCUACCAAGGCGACGAUCCGUAACUGGUCUGAGAGGAUGAUCAGUCACACUGGAACUGAGACACGGUCCAGACUCCUACGGGAGGCAGCAGUGGGGAAUAUUGGACAAUGGGCGAAAGCCUGACCCAGCCAUGCCGCGUGUGUGAAGAAGGUCUUCGGAUUGUAAAGCACUUUAAGUUGGGAGGAAGGGCAGUAAGUUAAGACCUUGCUGUUUUGACGUUACCAACAGAAUAAGCACCGGCUAACUUCGUG
rnacentral:rRNA from 1 species